rfam:Schistosoma mattheei strain Denwood, Zambia genome assembly, scaffold: SMTD_scaffold0009424
GCACUACUGAGGAGUUGCACAACAAGACGAAAUGGACGUCCAGUAC